GAUGCAGCGACGCCGCGUGAGGGAUGACGGCCUUCGGGUUGUAAACCUCUUUCAGUAGGGAAGAAGCGAGAGUGACGGUACCUGCAGAAGAAGCGCCGGCUAACUACGUGCCASCAGCCGCGGUAAUACGUAGGGCGCAAGCGUUGUCCGGAAUUAUUGGGCGUAAAGAGCUCGUAGGCGGUUUGUCGCGUCUGCUGUGAAAGCCCGGGGCUCAACCCCGGGUCUGCAGUGGGUACGGGCAGACUAGAGUGCAGUAGGGGAGACUGGAAUUCCUGGUGUAGCGGUGAAAUGCGCARAUAUCAGGAGGAACACCGAUGGCGAAGGCAGGUCUCUGGGCUGUUACUGACGCUGAGGAGCGAAAGCAUGGGGAGCGAACAGGAUUAGAUACCCUGGUAGUCCAUGCCGUAAACGUUGGGCACUAGGUGUGGGGGACAUUCCACGUUUUCCGCGCCGUAGCUAACGCAUUAAGUGCCCCGCCUGGGGAGUACGGCCGCAAGGCUAAAACUCAAAGGAAUUGACGGGGGCCCGCACAAGCGGCGGAGCAUGCGGAUUAAUUCGAUGCAACGCGAAGAACCUUACCAAGGCUUGACAUUCACCGGACCGCCC
rnacentral:rRNA from 1 species